rnacentral:rRNA from 1 species
UACAGAGGUCCCAAGCGUUGUUCGGAUUCACUGGGCGUAAAGGGUGCGUAGGUGGUCAGGUAAGUCGGAUGUGAAAUCUCCGAGCUCAACUCGGAAACUGCAUUGGAAACUACCUGGCUCGAGGGUUGGAGGGGGGACUGGAAUGCUUGGUGUAGCAGUGAAAUGCGUAGAUAUCAAGCGGAACACCAGUGGCGAAGGCGAGUCCCUGGACAACUCCUGACACUGAGGCACGAAAGCUAGGGGAGCAAACAGG